CCUACGGUGGGCAGCAGUGAGGAAUAUUGGUCAAUGGGCUUACGCCUGAACCAGCCAAGUCGCGUGAGGGAAGACUGCCCUAUGGGUUGUAAACCUCUUUUGUCAGGGAGCAACGCCGACUACGCGUAGCCGGACUGAGAGUACCUGCAGACAAAGCAUCGGCUAACUCCGUGCCAGCAGCCGCGGUAAUACGGAGGAUGCGCGCGUUCUCCGGAUUUUUGGGGUUAAAAGGGUGCGUAGGCGGAAUGCCAAGUCAGCGGUAAAAGCGCGGGGCUCAACCGCGCUCCGCCGUUGAAACUGGCGUUCUUGAGUGGGCGAGAAGUAUGCGGAAUGCGUGGUGUAGCGGUGAAAUGCAUAGAUAUCACGCAGAACUCCGAUUGCGAAGGCAGCAUACCGGCGCCCAACUGACGCUGAGGCACGAAAGCGUGGGUAUCGAACAGGAUUAGAUACCCUUGUAGUC
rnacentral:rRNA from 1 species